UACGGGGGGGGCAAGCGUUGUUCGGAAUUACUGGGCGUAAAGGGCUCGUAGGUGGCCAACUAAGUCAGACGUGAAAUCCCUCGGCUUAACCGGGGAACUGCGUCUGAUACUGGAUGGCUUGAGACCGGGAGAGGUGAGUGGAAUUCCCAGUGUAGCGGUGAAAUGCGUAGAUAUUGGGAGGAACACCAGUGGCGAAGGCGGCUCACUGGACCGGUACUGACGCUGAUGCGCGAAAGCGUGGGGAGCAAACAGG
rnacentral:rRNA from 1 species